rnacentral:lncRNA from 1 species
GUUGCAGCCGUUGUGUUUGCUAUCUAAUCUUAAGUAAUUGGGUUUCUACUUUCCCGGAGACAUUGAUCCACGUGCAACAGGAGGUUUUUGCCACUGCCCAGACAUCUCCUUGCUCAGCAAGUAGAAAAUCAAGGGCUAUACUAUUGUGCAAAACUACGUUGGCCAGUAAGUUGAGCCACCGUUGCUGGGCUGACAUUGCUUUGGCUGUGGAGUCGGCCAACUCUUCCAGUGUCAGCGAGAGAUUCCUGAUCAUUCGUCCGUUGGCACUCACUGUGAUCCCCAGGUUAAGAGAGCUCUUCCCACAGGCAAACCCAGAGUCAGCAAAGCAGACUGUGAUGGGCAUUUAAGAAUAACAAUCCGCUGGGAGCUGUGUGGAUCUACUGCUGGAGGAAGGAAGGAAGUCAGGGGACGGAGUGCAUGUUCAACUCCUAGGUAUCUCCCCAAGAGAAACGAAAACGUAGGUCCACACGAAAACUUGUGUAUGAAUGUUCACGGCAGCCUUACUGUAACAGCCAAAGCUGGAAACAACCGAGAUGUCCAUCAACUGAUGAAUGGGUUCAUAUAAUGUGGCGUAUCCACACAAUGGAAGAUCUUCCUCUAGGAGAAGGAAUGAAGUAUCCACAGAGGCUACAACAUGGAGAAAACUUGAAAACAUGCUAAGUGAGAGAAGCCAGACACAAAAGUCAUACAUUGUAUGAUAUUUCAAUGAAAUGUCCAGAAUAGACAAAUCUAUAGACAGAAGGUAGACGGGUGGUUGCUUAGGGCUGGCGGAGGAUCGGAGAUAGGAGACAGCUAACGGGCAUGGGGGUUAUUUUGAGGUUAUGAAAACGUUCUAAAAUUGACUUUGGGGGUGGUUGUAGAUAUCUACGAAUAUACUAAAAACCAUUGAACUGUACACUUUAAAGGGGUGAAUUAUAUGGUUUGUGAAUUAUAUCUCAAUAAACUAUUAUUAAAACACAAACAAAAGGCCCACGGUCAGCAGCUUGCUGAGCCCUGUUCACAUUAUACGUGCAGUCUCCCACAAUCUCUUACAAUAUCCUGUAUUAUUUUAAUUCUUACAUUUAAAUGUUUGAUCCACUUGAAAUUUAGUAUUUUAUGGUGUAAGGUGGGGGUUCAUUUUUAUUUGUUCCCUAGGACUAUGUUAUUGGGCUUCCACCACUUGUGAAAUAAACUAUCCCUUUUUCCACUCAGAUGGGGAAUCUCUUUUGUCAAAUAUUAACCUCUGUAUCCUGGGAUCUAAUUCUGGAUUAUUUAUCAUGUCCAUGGAUCUAUUUGUCUAUGCCUUCCUCAAUGCCACAAUGACCUGAUUUUAGUGACUUUAUUGUAUGUUCUGGUUUCUGUAAAGGAAGUCCCCUCUCAUGUUCUUUUCUUUCACACUUGACUUGUAGCCAGUAAGCUUAUCAAAAUGGCUAUCACUCCCUGCUUAAAAGCCUUUAAUGGAUUCCCACUGCUCUGCAAUGAUGGCCUGCAUCCUAACUGGCCCUGAGCGCUGCAUGCUUGGCCCUGCCUCGCCCUCCAGCUUCACUUGGCCAAGACCGCUUCACCUGGACUUUGUACUUCAGCCAGGCCAAAGUCACUCAAGUGUUCCUGCCCCAGGGCCUUUGCACUGGCUGUUUCCUCUGCCUGGAAUGAUUUUCCUUCUCUUUUGUCAAGUCCUCCUCUUCUUUGGCCUCAGUUUGAUCAUCACUCCCGCGGGAAGCCUCUGCUGACCUACCCGACUAGAACAAAUCCUUUCCCCACAUUGUGAACUUGUACUGUGCUGCACUGGCUACACUGCAAUAUUCCAUUUAUUCAUAUAAUUUUUUGAGCAAUGUCUGCCUCCUCCAGCUUCCCAUUGCCUUCCCAGUAUUUAUCACCGUGUCCCACUCAUAGUCAGUACUCAAAAACAAAAAAAGUUGAAGGAGUGAAUAAACAGGUAGAGACCGAACUCAGGCACCUGUCUGCCUGGCUUCUGAACAGCUUACGCUCUCCCCUUCCUCAUGCUUGUGCUGCCCUGGAGCAAGCCCGGGAUGGGCUGUUAGGAGCCCCGGGUUUUAGAGUCCGCUCUGCCUCUGAUGGAGCCAGUGCCCUGCACCUGUUUCAAGGUGCUCCCCGACUCCCUGCUCUCAUGGUCUCACAGUCCCAUGGGAGGCAACCCAUCGGCGAAACGGCGAAGAGGGGUUUAGACUGGGGCAUGUCAACACGUCACAUGGCUCAGGCACCCCAGGUGUAGCCAUAUCUCAGUUCCACCUGUAUUGUUAUCGAUUUAAAAUUUUUAUUGAAAGGACUUUUUAAAAAAAUUUAUCUUUUGAAAAGAAACUUUUAAAAAUAAGGCCAAUUUUUAUUACUUCUGUCAUUCCAUUGUAAUCACUGGUCGCAUUUUGUCUAAGACACAUUUCCAUAAAUUUGUACCUAUUCGAGUUAGAACGGCUCAUCCGGGAGCGAUCUGGAAUCCUCUGGUCCCUCCAGUGGCUGAGGUUCAGGGUUUUGGGAAAUCCUGGCCUGGGGGCUGGUUGAGGACAGGCAGCCCUCUACAAAACUCUCAUUUGUUCAGUCAGUGAACAAAUGCCUGCCUAGGACCACCAUGUGCAGAGCUCUGGCCGGGCCCUUCCACACCAAGGUGCCCAUGUGUGUGUCCAGGUCAGUGGGUGUCUGUGUGUGUCUCCGUGAGAGUUUAUGGGAUUUUUGUGCACGCAUGGGUGCACAGGCCCUCUCCCCGGGCUCCCCCCACGGACUUCCUUCCAGGCCGAAUCUGGGGAUAGCCCAUGUGACGGCCCAGGCGGGUCUGCUUUCUCUCAGGGCCAAGGCUGUGGAGUGAGGGAGACAGGGGGGCCACCAUGGCGGUGGGCACCUCGGCCCCGCCAGAUCUCCCGGAGGCCAGUAAGCAUAGCGGGCCCCUCAGCCAUCACUGGGGACUAAGCCGCCCUGGGACCUAGAAUUCUAGAAUGUUCCUAGUCUCACCCUCUCAUCCUACCAAUGGGGAGACAGGCUCCCCAGUAGGGAGAGGCCUUGCCAGAGACACUGAGCACGUAAGUGGCAGGCCGAGGCCUCAGGGUCCUCUCUGACCUGCUGCAGCUUCUCCACGCACUCUCAGGGGAUCAGCCAGGCGCUGUCUGUGGCAAGGACGACUUAAAAUGAGGAGAAAACAAGUACUUUGAAAAAAUUCAGAUAAAAGCUAAUGUGUGUCGAGCUCUCACUGGAUGUCAGGCACUGGUUUGUUUGUUUGUUUGUUUGUUUUUGAGGAAGAUUAGCCCUGAGCUAACAUCCGAUGCCAGUCUUCCCCUGUUUAUAUGUGGCACGCUGCCACAGCAUGGCUUGACAAGCAGUGGGUAGGUCCGCACCCGGGGUCUGAACUGGCGAACCCGGGGCCGCCAACGCUGAACGGGUGAACUUAAUCGCUGCGCCACUGGGCCAGCCCCUCAGGCACUGUUUUAAGCACUUUAAAUACAUUAAGUCCUCAAACAACUCUAUGGGGUAGACACAAAUAUUAUCAUCCUAUUUUCCAGAUGAGGAAAGUGGGGCGCAGAGAGGUUCACUGAGUCAACCAGGGUCACACAGCUGGUAGAUUGGCUUCGUGGCCGACACUCUUUGCCUCUACAUUAAGCAGAGAAGGGGAGCAAGGCUGGCAGCCUGUGGCUAGAAAGCUGCUGUUCUUCUGACUCCGAGUUGAGACUAGCCGGUGCCCUUGGCCACCCCACGGCAUGUUCUUGAAGUCCAAGGUGCUGCUCUCAGCUUCGCCUGUGCUGUCUAGGCAUGACUUCUCAGAUGAGGAGACCAAACGCAAGGAGGUAGAGUUGUGCACAUGCUCGAGAUCACACAGCUGUCCCCAGUCCCCUCACCAUUUGCCAGGCACCGUGCUGAACACUUUACCUGCUUUACUUAAUUUAAUCCUCACAACAACCCUAUAAGUAGGAACUACUAUUCUCCUCAUUUUACGCAUGGGGAAAUGGAGGCUCAGAGAGGUUAAGUAACUUACCCCCGGGCACACAGCUAGUAAGUGGCUGAGGCAGCACUUGAACCCAGGUCUGUCUGAUCUGAAGCCUGUGAUCUUACCCACCAGGCUCUCCUGCCUCACGUGUCCCUGCACAUCCUAACCACACGCAAGGAGGUAGAGCGCAGACAUGGCCCCACCUUACAGAGGAGGAAACAGGGGCAGCUUGCCUGAGAGCACAUAGUUAGUGAACGUGGGAUCCAGGACUCAGAACCCCAGGUCCAUCUCAUUCCCUGGCCAGUACCCUUUUCUUUGUUCCUUCAGGAAUGUUCCAGAAAAGGCCCCAGCUCUAUGGUUGUGUGUGGUCAACAGCCCAAAGCAAUUUCUGAUUUAUCAUUCUACAGCACUUUCCCACCAGCCAGUGAAGGUCAGAUGCGGGCCAUUUCACAGAUGGGCAAUCAGAGGCCCAGAGAGGGGAAGAGACUUGCCCAAGGCCUUGAACUAGGGUCCCUGACUCUCAGUCCAGCGAGGGAGGCUCCAGGGAGGGGGUCCUGCAGGGGCAGGUUCCCGCUCACUGGUCUCUGCUCUGGCCAGAGGCAGGAGGGUGAGGUCAUCGCCUUAUCAGACUAAUUGCCCCCCUGAAGUAUAAUCCUGCCGCUCAGCUGGAACCUGCGGGAAUGAUCCUGGAGACAGGAGCUGUUAUUGUCCAGAUCGGGGGUCGGGGGGAGGCAGUGGUCAGGGAAGGGGGGCAAGCUGCCCUCAUAACACCCCUUGAAGCGGUUUGCUUUCUCAAAGGCCUCUGGAGACAGGCAUUUCUCGAUUUCUGAAGGUUUCUGCUGCUUUCGUGCGCAGUUGGCGGGGAUACGGGCCAUGGUAACAGAAAUGGCGUCAAGACAACCUGCCUCCUUAGACAAAACAGGGCUGGAACAAUGCAGGUGGGGGCUGUGUCCCUCUGACGCACAGGAGUGUGGUCAUCGAUGGUGGAGAUAAAAGUUAAGCAACUGGGCUCAGGAAAUGUUGGACGGGGUCAGCCCGCCCGGCUGGGGAAAGCCCUGAGGGGCUGGCGUUGGUGGGACAUGGGUGGGUCCACAUAAAGCUGGCUGUUGAUGGGACGGACUGAGAAUCAGGAGGCCAUGAUGGCAGUCGUACAAUAGCCACCAUUGAUUUAGCGUGGCUGGUGUUCCUGGCACCGCGAAAUAGUAGCUGAGCCCACUGUGUGGCCAACAGUGCUGGAGUCACAAGGCCUAGGUUUGAAUCCCAGUAUCGCCACUUCCUAGCUGUGUGACCCCGGGCAGCAGGGCCGGACUAGGGUGAGGAGAGUGAGGUGCCCAGGACACAAAAUUUAAGGAGGCACGACCCUGAGAUGGAACACCCCCUAAAUUUUUGCUCCCCGGGUGCCUCUCUUGCCUCAGCCUAGUAGGCGGGUCACCUCCCCUCUCUGAACUCCAGUUCCAUCAUCUGAAUGAUGGGGAUGAGAAUAACAGUCUGCCUCGGAGGGUGGUGAGGAGUACCCGAGAAGAGGCAGGGCCAGCACUUCACACAGUGCCGGCACACAGUCAGCACUCAGGACGCCAGGGUCCUGCCUCGGAGGAAGGCUCUGCUGUGUGCUGGGCUCACAGCAGUGACGGUCACGGACUGAAGUUGCUGUCCCUUUAAAUUCCUGGGUUGAAGUCCUAAGCCCCAGUGUGACGGUAUUAGGAGGUGGGGCCCUUGGGAGGUGAUGGGGUCAGGAGGGUGGAGCCCUCGUGAGUUGGAUUAGUGCCCUUGACAGAGACCCCGGUCACGUGAGGACACAGAGAAGUCCACAGUCUGCAUCUGGGAAGAGGGCUCUCACCAGAACCCGACUGGCUGGUACCCCGAUCUUGGACGUCUGGUCUCCAGAACUGCGAGAAGUAAAUGUGUGUUGUCUAUAAGACCCCCAGUCUAAGGUGCUUUGUUAGAGCAGCCCAAAAGGACUAGGACAGAGGCACACUCGGUCCCUGCCCUCUCGGUGCGUACAGUUGAGCCGGGAAGACACAGGGAAUAGACUGUGAGAUGAGAUGAUGAGGGAGGAGGGGGAGCCAGGGAAAACACCAGCGAGACGAGAAGCAGGACGAGAAAAAGAAAAAUCCCACUCCCCAAAGAUGGUUGCUUAGAAUCAAGCAAGGUGUGUUCCUGCUCUGAAAAUGACCCAAACCAGGGUGGCACCGUGUAUCUCACUCUAUUUAUUUUAUUCAACCCUCAAAACCGUAUCCCCACAGGAUAAGUGAAGAAACUGAGGCUCAGAGAGGUGCAGUGAUUUCCCUAAUGUCACACAGCUUGGACGUGACAGAGCCAGGACUCAAAGCUAGGACUACCUGAUUCUCUCCUCUACAGCUUGAUCCUGCUGCAAACUGGAUGUAUGAUCUCAGGCAACUCAUACUUUCCUUUCCAAGCCUCAGUUUCCCCACCCUUCAAGGUAGAAGAUGAGGAUCACAUGAGGUCAUGAAUAUGGGAGCACUUUGGACAUUGCAAGCUGCUGUCUGUGGCCGAAGGGUUAUCAGUGUAGUGAUGCAGAAAGCACCAAAGGGCCCCUUAUCUGUGAGGACCACCCUGUGGGCCCCCUACCCCCCACAGGAUCUUGCUCUGAGUCAGGGUGCUGAGUCUCCCCAGGCCUCCCUGACGUCUUUCCUGCUUGGAGGAGCAGAAGCAUUGGAGGCACUGUAACCAGCAGCUGUGAGGAAAGUGCUGCUGGCCCCUGUUUAGCAGAGGAAGCAACUGAGGCACAUUAAGGUAAGACAUUCAUCCCCGGGGCACAGUUUGUGGCCAAGAGGGAACCUGGAAGCAGACAGUCCUUGGACACCCCUGCUGUGGUUUCCUAGUGGACGAGACCCUCCGGAUGGGCAGCACAGGGCAGCUCUGGGAGAAAGGGGCCAAGGUCCUGGUUUUCUCGAGGGGCAGGGUGGGGGAAGAGGGCCCCACCAGCCUUCCAUCUCCCUCCGCCCAUCCCCCUCUCUGGGGCGCCAGCCCCGCCCCACCGUGCAACCCCUCCAGGCCCUUUCAAGCUUCCUUCUCGCCUGCUUGUGAAGGACAGUAAUCCCACACCUUGGUGCUUUCUCAUGGGAGGAAAGAGGAUUCUGGAGCAGAGGGCCAGACCGAUUUAGGGAUAGGCUCAGGAUGGAGAGGAUGGCGUGGGGCGUUGGGUGAUGAAACAGGACCCUAUCUAGCCAGGCUGACACCCUCAUUUUUUCAAAACUGUUGGAACCCAGAAAGGGGCUCAAAGUCUCAGAGCAAGUCAGGGGCAAUACCUGAAGCUAGGUGUCCUGAGUUCCAAGUCCAACGACCUUGCCUUCGCCCGCCUCGUGCUGUGACCUUUAGACGGCCAGAACCUUUGCUACGGGCAGGCAGGAGGCACUGAAAAAUACUUGUUGGUAAAUGAAUGAAUGAAUGAAUUCAUUCAUUCAUUCCGGUCCCUCCUCUAGGGGGCGCAUGGGGGUGCGAUGCUGACUUCUCUAUGGGACCCUACCUGAAUAGGCAGGGUUUACCCCUCCAAAACAUCCCUUCUUCCCUUGGAAUUAAUUCAUGGGGGUCCCUCCUUUCCCUAGAGGGUUGUGUGCCACCUAGAGGAAGCUGGGAGCCCAGCGUCCGCAUCCCUUGGGGAGAGUGACAAGGGGAGAGGUGCCCACCCUCCAUUUCUAGGACUGCUGCUACCCACUUCCAGUCUCUUACCUGACACCAGGAGGGUUCUGGCCAGGAUCAGCCUCAAUAAACAUCUAGGGAAUGAGGACGUCUUUGCAGCAGAAAGGACUUAAAGUAGAAUAUGCCACAUACUUUCUUAUCUCAGUAUUUUCUACUUAGAGGCCACUUUUAAGAACUUUCCGUCCCCUUUCCCCACCUCCCUGGUUUCCUUACCUUGAAAAGAUGCAGACAGAAGAAACAAUGUCACUUCCGUGGUGCUCCUGCCGAAGAUGCAUAACCUGAAUCUAAUCCUCAGACAAAACCCAGUGAAGGGACAUCCUACAAAAUAAUAGCCAGUCAUCUUCAACCUUGUCAAGGUCAUGAAAGUCUGAAGGAUUGUUCCAGGCUGCUGGGGAUCAAGGAUCCACGACAACUAAAUGCCAAUGUGAUUCUCCCCCAGGGCCGAGUGUCAGAUGGUGUCUGCAGAUUCUGUGGUGGGACACGCGAGUGUUAGUGUCCUGGCGGAGACGGCUGUACUGUGGUUUAUAGGAGAUUGUGCACGUUUGUUGGAAAUAACAUGCAAGUGUUCAGGUGAAAUGGGGUGUCAUAUCAGUAACUUACUCUCAAAUAGUUUAGGGAAAAAAACUUUACGUGCUGCACUUGUGGCUUUUCUAUAAACUUGAGAUUGUUUCAACGUUUAAAAUCUACAUAGUAUAAAAAUGAAUCGACUUAUUACAGGAAAAAAAUGCAGACAGUAAUCCUCUGUCUUCAGGUUGGAAUGGUGGUGAGAUGAACUCUGUAAUCGUGAUACCAUUUUAUUGAGCUCUGACUGAGGGCUUUCCUUAGGUCACCCCAUUUACUCAUCAUAUGCUUCGUCUGUGAAGUUGGUAUCUUCACCCCCAUUUUUCAGAUGGAGAAACUGAGACUCAGAGGGUUGAAGUGACUUGGCCAACGUGGCUGAAUUUGCAGCCCUCCGACUCUGCACCUCACUGUGCUGCCUUCCCUUGAGCUGCCUCAGCCCAGUGCCCGCCCCAGGGCCAACACCGCCCUUCUCUUCUCGUCUCCACCAGUCAAAAUCUUCCUACUCAUCCACACCCAGCUUUAGUGCCAUUUCCCCAGGAUGUCUUCUCUGAUUCCCCCUACUGGAUACAACUGUCCAUCCUCUGAGAUCAGUCCUUCUCAUGGUCAAUCAUUCAUUCAUUAAAAAAAUAUCUGUUCAGAGCCUUCCACAUGGCGAGCAUCGUGCCAGGGGCUGGAGAUGUGCUGAUGUAUAAAACAGACACUGUCUCUGUCCCUGUGGAAACGGCGACUAAAAGCGUCAGUCAACAAACAAAUACACAUAGAAUCCCAAAUGUGAUCGAAGCCACCAAGGAAAGAACAGGUGCUUUGACAGCGGGGUGGUGAGAAAGCCUCUGGGGAGGACAGCGUCAGGGGCACAAAGGAGCCAAGUGGUGGAAGAGCGGAGCCAGGAGCUGGAGGAAAACCAGUACACCAGAGGACGGAGGUGCUGGGGCUGAGGUCCUGGCUAGCAGCAGGCAGGGCCAGAUCGCACAGAGGCUGUUUUUAAGGAAGCUGAUCUUUACUCAACUGCAGAGGAAGCCCCCAGAGGGUUGUGAGCAGGAGAGACCUGAUGAGAUUUACAUUUUUAAAGAUCACCCUGGUGCUGCUGUGGACGAUCAGAGGGCACAAGAGUAGAAGCAGAUGGGUCCUUAUCUCUCCCUUGCUGUUUUCUGGUGAGUCCAGGUCUUAUCUUGCUUUCUAGAGAGCUCCUUGAGGCCAGGGAUGGCGUCUGUCUCAGAGGUCGCCCAGCCCAGGCUGUUUGUCCCAGGCCUGACCGGGGGGCUCUGUCUCCUGGCCUAUGCUCUGUCCCUGAGGACAAUCUGGGACACACUCUGCUCUCAGCUCGCUGGUGCUCUGCGGCCCCAGCACGGGUGGAAUGUCUGACAGAGGAGCACACGCACGUGUUCUCCAAACAGACCUUGAUUCAUGUUUCCAGGAGAAGCUCGCAAACAGACUCCUGCCGGCCGCAUCCAUCAGGGGAGAGAUGGGCUCUGUAAACAAAGGUCCACAGGCUGUCUCCAUCUUCCACACAGACACCCAUCCCUGCCGGCCACUGGCAGCCCCUGGCCCCGCCCUGGCCAUGCUCUAUGCCAAGCCCCUAUCCAGAGCCUCAAAGACACACUGCCCCUUACCGCCCCGUCUCGCAGCUGAGAAAACAGAGACUGAGAGAUGUUAAGUCCCUUGCCCAAGGUCACAUAGUCGACCCAGCUACUACACGCGCUAUACUGUAUUCUACUCUGCCACUAAUGAGAAUAGUAGUAACUCACAUUCGCCGAGGGGCACUUGUGAUGUGCUGAGCACUGUUCUAAGGGCUGUACGUAGAUUAACUCGUUUCAUCCGCACCAUCACCCUGUGCAGUCAGGGCUCUUACUUUCCCAUUUUUCUUAAGGGGAAACCAAGGCCCAGAGAGGGAGGUCAAGUGAUUGCCCCAAGUCACUCUGAGAGUGAUUAGGGGAGGGGGGACUGGAGCCGGGCAGGGAGAGCCCAGUGCCCACGGGCUGCUCUCUGGUACUGCUCCCCCGGCCUCCUGGGAGCUAAGAGCAGGCCCAUUCUUCUCCCUCACCUUUCUCUCUGUUUGAGAAUUUGAAAAAACCGAGGCCCAAAGGAGGGAAGUAACUGGGUCCCAGCCGCCCGGCUUCCACGGCAGAGUGGGGCCUGGAGCACGGGACCUGUGGGCUUUCCUUUUCAGAGGCCAGGAUAGGAGCCAGGGGUAUGGUUCUACUCCCAGCAAUGCUGCUGCCUUGCUGUGUGACCUGCAACAAGUCACAUCCCCUCUCUGAGCCUCAGUUUCCCCAUCUGCUCAAUGGGAAUGACAAUGCCAGCCCUUACCCACGUUAUAAGCCCUGCUGUAAAACCGAGUGUGUGAAGGGGUUGUGGAACAGAACAGGAUGAGUUUCGCAGCCUGGAUUCCUGUCCCGUGAAUGGAAUGUCCAAGCAGCCCCAGGGGUGGGGCUGGGCUGGGCCUCCUCCAUAGUGAGACCCCCCACCUUGGGCUCCAGCCCAAAUUGCCAGACACAGGCCUGAGAGGAGGGCCUCCCCUCCAGGCGGGGGUGACCAGGAGCCAGUCGGCUGGCCAUUUGUCCACAGAUGGGUGUGCAGAUAAGAGGCGUCUGGAGAUAAGGCAGGGCCUGCUUGCAGCCUAGUGGCGAGCCAGGCCAAGCCCCUGCGGGGAGGUGGGGCGGAGAGAUGGGGAGCUCAGGGCGCCUUGGGCAGAGAGGGCUGGACCCCCGCCCCAAGGCCUGGGACAGAACUCUUUCUGCUGCUCCAUGGCACAGGCCUAGUGCCCUCCCCGCUUCCGGACCUGCCCCCACCUCCGACAAAAUAAGACAGAAUAAAGCAAACAAAUAAACAAACAAAAACAUAUACUUUUAUCAGAAGUGCUGCUUAAGCUAGACAAAGCCACCAGCUAACACCGGGUCCAAGUCUAGCCCUGCCACUGACUUCCUGGGCAGCAUGAAGUCACUGCCCGACUCUGAAUCUCAGUUUCUUCAUCUGGGCAGUGGGCACAGGCCUGUCUUUCCCUCCUUCCUCACAAAUACCAAGGAAUCCAAAUAAUAAGAAACAGCUAACACUGUGCUCGUCCUGGGAAGUGGGUACUGUUGUGAUCUCCACUUUACAGAUCCAUAAACUGAGGUAUGGAGGGUAGGUCACACAGCUGGUAAGUGGGGAGGCCAGGAUUCAAAUCCAGGCCAUGGGAUUCCAGAGGUGGGCUCUUAGCUGCUCGAAAUGUCACCGCCAAUGUUAUUAAAGGAACAAAGCAAACUGCAAUUAGAGCCCAUCUCAGUUUAAAAAUUACACACACUUAUGUUUGUAUAUUCAUAGACAUUUUUGGAAAAAUACACUUGCGAAUGUUAACAGCAUUGAUAUCUAGAACAGGGUUUCUCGACCUUGGCACUAUUGACAUCACAGGCUGGAUCAUUCUUUGUUGUGGCCUGUCCUGUGCACCGCAGGACGUUGAGCAGCACCCCUGGCCUCUGUUCGUUAGAUGCCAGUAGUAGCAUGGCCUCCCCACCCCCAGGCUGUGACAACCAAAAAUGUCUCCAGACAUCCCCAAAUGUCCCUGGGAGGCACCCACCCCCUCCCCCAUUGAGAUCCACUGAUAGAGGAUGUGACUAAGAGGGAUGUUUGCCUUCUAAGCCCUACCCUGAUAAUUUUGCCACGUGCAAGCAUGACACAUUGAAAUGAGAAGAAACACCAGUGAAGAUGAAAGAAUAAAGAGAGGUCAUUGGAUGGUGGGUGGGUGAGUAGAAGGAUAAAUGAACGUUGACCAAAGGAGGCAGAUGGAAAUCAGAGCCUCGGUACACUGGGGGAGCAUUUCGAGACCAUCCAGUCAACUCCUGCAUUUUCCAGAGAGGAAAAGGAGGACCAUAGAGGCAAGGGGCUUGUCUGAAUCCACAGAACAGGCUGGCACAGGGUGACAUGAAAGCUUGAGUGUGUUGACUCCUGGUCCAGUGCUCUGAACCCCAGAAUGUGAAAAGGCAAACGAGAGAACGGCUGCUCCGAGAAAACCUCCCUGCUUUGGCAGCUGGAGGGUCCUGGGGCUUGAGGGCAGAGCUGCCCCCCAGCCUGAUGUCUUCAGAUAAUGGCUGGAACGUUCUGGAGGCAAGUGACUCCACAGGUGACCUGGUCCCCUCGGUGUGGAGGGCAGACACCUGCACACACGGCAGUCCGCGCCGAGGGCCAGAUGAAGGGGAGAGUCUGUUCCCCCGCUCAGUGUGGUGCAGUGUGAAUGGAAGGCCGAUACAGACUGAGACAGGUCGGGGGGCCCAGAGCGCCAAGCGAAGGAGGUAGCGGGGAGCCUUAGGGCUGCUGAGAGCAGGACCACUCAGGGGACGAGCUGUGGCUACGGCUUUGAGGAGAACCUCUCCCAGAGAUGGCCAUAGUGAGGGCAACGACAGGUCUCCUUCUUGAACACUUAUAUGUGCCCGAGGUUCCACAGAGUGUCCCAGGGUGGAGGCGGGAUUCCAACCUGUGUCCCUCUGGCUCCGAAGCCUGUGCUCUAACCUUGCUCUCUACCUCAGUGGAGCACUGCCCAGCCAUCAGGACGAAGGCGGCAGCCACAUGACUCACGACAACCAAGAGGUGCAAACAAGCCGAGUGUCCAACGACAGCGGAAUGGAUAGCAAAGUGUGGUCCAUCCAUGCAAUGGAAUAUUAUUCAGCCUCAAAGAGGAAGGAAAUUCUGCCAUAUCCUACAACAUGGAUGAACCCGGAGGACACUAUGCUGAGUGAAAUAAGCCAGUCACAAAAUGACAGAUCCUGCAUGAUUCCAUUUAUAUGAGGCUCCUGGAGUCAUCAGAUCCAUAGACACAGAAAGCAGAGUGGUGGAUGCCUGGGGCUGGGGGUGGGGGGUGGGGAAUGGGAAUUAUUGCUUAAUGGGCACCAAGUCUCAGUUUUGCAAGAUGGAGAGAGUUCUGGAGAUGGGCUGCACAACAAUGUGAAUGUACUUAAAUCACUAGUGAACUGUACUCUUAAAAAUGGUUAAGAUGGUAAAUUUUGUGCUAUGUGUAUUUUACGACAAUUGAAAAAAAGGAUGAGGCAGAAGGUGGGAGAAAUAGGGCUCCCUCGGGGAAACAAACCCCCUGCGAUUUCUGGAAUAGGGAUUUGUUGUGGGAAUCACACCCUCAAACCAUUGGGGGAGUGGGAUUCAGGAGGGGGCUGGAGGAGAAGAGGGGCCCAGGGGAUCUGAGGAACCAGGGAAGGGGCUGCCCAGUGGGGAGCUGUGCCUCGGUGGCCGUGUCUCUACUGUCCGCCCUCCCUGGUGGGUCCCACCCCUGUCAGUCUGCUGGGCCAUUGGCCGGGAAAAGGAGCGGGACGUGGAGAGAAGAGAGUGAGGAAAGGCAGCCGUCAUCUCUGCGUCUGCCCAGCAGGGCGUCUGCCCACCACAAUCUGGAGCGGUUCAACCUCGAGAGAGGGACGCCGCUGCUCACUUCCGCCUUCGGAAUCUCCAUGAAUUCCUCUUCCCGCCAACUCUAAUGAAAAACCCUGCGUGAAGGGCAUUUGGGGAGACAGUUCUCACCUUAACCAAGAUCACCGAGAACAAAUCGCCACCUGGGGUAAUGGUGGAACAAUCUCCGAGAUGCACGGUUAACUGAAAAAGAUGGAGGAAAAUAUGGAUGGUAGGCAGGUUUUCUUUCCAAAUUGUGGUAAAAUACGCAACAUAAAAUUUACCGCUGUAACCGUUUUUAAGUGUACAAUUCAGUGGCAUGAAGGGUGUUCAUACUGUUGUGCAACCAUCACCAAUAUCCUUCUCCAGAACUUUCUCCUCAUCCCAAACCGAAACUCUCUGCACAUUGUUUUCUAAGGAUAUCACUCACACACACACACAUACACACACACACACACACACACGCUCUCCUCUCUACCUCUGCGUGCACACAGUAUCUCUGGAAAGAUACGCAAGAACCGAGAGACUAGCAGUGGUGUCUCUGGAGAGGGAGACGGGCAGGCAGGGGUGGGACGGAGAUUACUGUGGGAGACUUACUUUUCACUUUUUAUUCUUUUGUACCCUUUGAACAUGUCUUUUUCUUAAUUUUUUCCCCCCAGAAGCUGUCCUCAUCCCCUAAUUCAGAUUGAGUUUAGAAAGAAAUCACCCUCUCCUUUUUGAAACAUCAGAAUGCUGUGGUUGUCCACCCACCCGGGAGCACACAACUUCCGGCACAGUUGGGUGUGGAAUAAAGAUGGCUGGACCGUGUCACUCACUGCGUGGCCUUAGGCCUGCCCCUUCCCCUCUCGGGGCCUCGGUGUGCCCAUAUGUACAAGGAAAGACUUGGAAGAGAUGGCGCCUCAGAGUCUAUGAUGCUCGGGGAUGUCUGGAUUCUAAUCAGGUUCAAAAUUCUCCCUGGAGGCUGGUCUGUGCAGUGGAGGAGGAAGCAGAGAUGCAGGGAGAUAGGGGGACUGGCCCACAGCUACCUGAAGAGACAGCACUGGGGAUGGGAGCAGAAACGGGAGUGUUCCUGGUCAACUGCUGCUCGGAGAUACCCAUGAGCUGGCCCCAAACAAACUCAGCGUCAGUAAUGGAAGCAACAACUCCCAUUCAACAAUCAGGAAACACCAAAAGGCUUCUGUUAUAUAUUAAAAUAUACUCAUGACUAUUAAAAUAACAAACGCUCACUAUGUGCUUUGUAAAAUCGCCUAGUUUACCAUACUUCGGAAAUGCUGACCUGGUCAGUCCUGAUCACUGUACAAUGGGUGUGUCUGGGACCCCGGAGAUGGUAGUAUAGGGCAGGGUUAAUGCCUUCAGAUUUAAGCAGAUUUGCAUUCAGACUUCAGCUCUCCCAGCACGUGGCAAACGCUGUGUGUUAGCCAUUACUAUUAUUAGGUACUGUAAAAUAAAAUUAUUGCACACUGGAAAAUGUAAAAUAAAAAGUGAACUUAUUCCUCAUGGUUAAAAAACAAGUUGCAUAUGACAUACACUUAAUUAGGCAUCAAAGACCUCCAGAAAGAUUCUGGAGCACUGAGUUUGGGGCGCUCUGUUACUUAGCAUUGUUGGGCAAUAGCUGACUGACACAGAUGUGAUCAUGGUAUAGUAGUUUGCUUUAAAACAAGCCCCCACCUUUUAGAGAUACAUACUAAAAUGUUUACAAAUGAAAAAAAUUAAGACAUUUUAAGAGAAAAAUUGUACUCUAUUGCCAGACCAUACAUCAGACAAGUGUUCUACCUGGAGUUUACUCGAGCUUCGUGCCCCUGAGUGCCUGUCUCCUCUCCUGCAGUGGUUCCAGGGGUCUGGAGUCCUGGGGUGUCAAAGCUGGCAUUGCGGGGGCAGGGCGGGGUGCUUUGGACUAUGCUGUCCAUGUCCUCAUUUGGGGAGUCCAUGGACGAUGGAGGUAAAGUCACUGCGAGCUGAGGCUCCACCCAGGACUCCUGAUGCGCCCGCUUUCCGUUCCUCCACACUGGUAAGAGCAGGAGGCCACAGCUGGCUCUGGGCAUCUCCCCCACUCCCAGGCUCCAUCUCUGACUCAGAAUUGCCAAUGAACGCAAGGAAAUAUUUUCCACUUUUCAGCCUCUGUCUGUGCAAAAAUCCCAUUAAGCAGCCUGUCCAGA